AACCGGAUUAGAUACCCUGGUAGUCCACGCCCUAAACGAUGAAUACUCGAUGUUGGCGAUAUACGGUCAGCGUCUAAGCGAAAGCGUUAAGUAUUCCACCUGGGGAGUACGCCCGCAAGGGUGAAACUCAAAGGAAUUGACGGGGGCCCGCACAAGCGGAGGAGCAUGUGGUUUAAUUCGAUGAUACGCGAGGAACCUUACCCGGGCUUGAAAGUUAGUGAAUGAUCCAGAGACGGAUCAGCUCUUCGGAGCACGAAACUAGGUGCUGCAUGGCUGUCGUCAGCUCGUGCCGUGAGGUGUUGGGUUAAGUCCCGCAACGAGCGCAACCCCUAUGUUUAGUUGCCAGCACGUUAAGGUGGGGACUCUAAACAGACUGCCUAUGCAAAUAGAGAGGAAGGAGGGGACGACGUCAAGUCAUCAUGGCCCUUACGUCCGGGGCUACACACGUGCUACAAUGGGCAGUACAGAGGGCAGCUACCUGGCAACAGGAUGCCAAUCUCAAAAAGCUGUUCACAGUUCGGAUCGGGGUCUGCAACUCGACCCCGUGAAGUUGGAUUCGCUAGUAAUCGCAUAUCAGCAAUGAUGCGGUGAAUACGUUCCCGGGCCUUGUACACACCGCCCGUCAAGCCAUGGAAGCUGGAAGUGCCUGAAGUGCGUAACCGCAAGGAGCGUCCUAGGGUAAAGUCGGUAACUGGGGGCUAAGUCGUAACAAGGUAACCGUA
rnacentral:rRNA from 1 species